rnacentral:lncRNA from 1 species
UUAGUCUAUCUGAAGAACGCCGUUGAGAGACUACACCGCCCAUGAAACCCUGCAGUAUAACCUUGAAGUACCAUCACGGAGAGAAACAGUGCCAUCUCAGGGCCAGUGGCGCAAUGGAUAACGCGUCUGACUACGGAUCAGAAGAUUCCAGGAGCCAAUGACCAAUAGGCCAGAGCACUGGAGACUUUCUGGAAGAAAGAGGUACUGAAGCAUCCAAUAUGGAAAUAGUCAAGAUAUAGAAAAUGCAAGCUCUUGAAGGAUUCAAGAUAUAGAAAGGAUCUGAGAUAUGGAAAGAACUCAGGAUAUAGAAGGAUCUGAAAUUUUGGAGACUAAGAUAUGAGAAUAUUUAAGACACAGGUAGGAAGGACACCUUCAAGGAAUUUGCUGGCUACCCUUAUUUUUAUAAUAUGCUUGCUAACAUCAGCAUGGGAGCAUCUUGAGUUUUUAGCCUACUACACAAGCAGAUAUUGAACCAACAUUAACAGGAAUUAGUGUAGUCUGUUUUCCAAUAAGAGAGUGUUCAAGGAUCUUCAUGUAUUCCAGUUUCCUCAGAAACACAUGCUUCUGUGAGGAAAACCAUACUGGGGAAACUUAUAAAUCCUUUUUUUUUUUUUUUUUUGGAGUCUUGCUCUGUUGCCCAGGCUGGAGUACAGUGGCACGAUCUCAGCUCACUGCAAGCUCCGCCUCCCAGGUUCACACCAUUCUCCUGCCUCAGCCUCUGGAGUAGCUGGGACUACAGGUACCCACCACCACGCCCAGCUAAUUUUUCGUAUUUUUAGUAGAGACAGGGUUUCACCGUGUUAGCCAGGAUGGUCUCGAUCUCCUGACCUCGUGAUCCACCCACCUCAGCCUCCCAAAGUGCUGGGAUUACAGGUGUGAGCCAAUAAAUGCUUUUUACUAGAAAAGGCAAGAACCUGGAUAAGACCUCUCUGGAUAAAUCAUCAAACCUUUUGCAAGUGGCUACUCUUACCUUGUUGAAGUAUUUCCAUCCCUUCUCCAGGUGAGCAGAAAUCCCCGGAUGCCAUUUGAUUUUCUUGGGAUUCUAAUCUGUGGAACCAAGAAGUGAAAGAAAACAAAAAGAUGAAUAAACAGCUGGCUGCUCCAAGGACACUACCUUAUGUUCAAAUUUCUGCUGUCCACAAGCUGGAAAGGAACCUCAAGGAUGACUUUUACAGAGGGCCUAUACCACACAUCCUGGGUCCCAAGCUCUUACACAAGCUUUAUGGACAAACAGAUUUACAAGUGCCAAAACAUGUCACAUUCUAAGCACACAUGUGUUUCCACUUGCUCCAAGCUGUCCAAAAGGAGCAUCCUAAAAAGAGAACUUUCCAAUUCACUGAGUCUAAACAAGAGGAUUCUCCACCACCACCACCAUUAUGCCAAAGUUAAAACUGAGCUGCAGCUUCCCAGUUAUGAGUGAACUGGGGGAAAAGGGAAAAAAAUCAAAGUCUACUUUUUCCCCCCAAAUAACUCAGCUAUCAAAUUCCAUAAUAGUUUUUUUGUGCUUCUUUUUUUGUCUAAGAUCUGUUGGUAGUUUUUUUUUUUUUUAUCAUUAACUCUAGAAUCAUCCUUCAGGAAUGACAAAUCAUUCCACACUUGAACAACUGGUUUUCACAUAACAGCCUAAGAAAAGAGCACCUGGAGGAAACAGCGUGACAAGAAGACUGACAGUGAGGUCAGUGGCAAAAGAGUAAUGCAAAGGUGUAAUGUGGCUACAACGAGAACGUGAGCUGUGGGUGUUUUGCCAGAACAUGGAGUGCGCUGAAAGGAAUGACACCAACACAGGGGCAGUAAAGAUGGGCACAGUUUGACCUCAGGAGACAAAAAUUUUCCCUUGACAUUACUUUUCAUGUUUUUGCUCUGCCCCUCCUCUCUGCAAGGUAUCAAACUCCAAAGGGCAACUGAGCCUCCCAAAGCUGAACAGGCAUUGAAGGUUAUUAUGAUUUAACGCUUCAUGUUUAUAGAACAUUUGGUUUACUCGAUCGUUUUAUGAGUAACAUCAAAGUAACUACUCAUUUGUUUUCUAACAUGGUCUAGAGGGGGACGCAGCUGAGGAGGCAGAAUGCUGGGACUUAAUUUGCAGCUCGGCCGGCCGUUGCUUCUGAGAACUUAAGGAAAAUGCUUUUUUCUGUGCCAAACUUUUCCCACCUGCAAAACUGAGAUAACGAUUCCUGCCUUGGAUGAGACAUUAAGAAUUAAUAACACAAUCGACUUGUCAACAAAAGCCACUACUUAGUUAAGUUCAGUGUUUUAACAAUUCUGUUUAUCGUUGAUCUAUGACUGCAAAUAAAAAGUUUUGCAGGCAAAUUUCGCACUUGGAAAUGAAGACCAACCCAAAUUCCAAAAAGCUAGCUGUUCGUCCCCCCCUAGGGUAAGUGUCCCCUUGCGUUUUUUAGGGUGCCUUUCUUUACCCUUCUUAAAGGUUACAGGGCGUGAACGGCAAUCAGGCUCGAUUCUCCACCCUCUGCACUCAGACGUGUUAAAACGCUGCUACAGGGACCCAAGCAUUUAAAUGUUCUGACUCAGGCGUCUUUUAAAUUCUUAGAGCUGUCUUUACACGCUGCACUGAACGUUAAAUUGAUUUUACAGGUUAUUUUCACAAGAUAUGACCCUUACAGGGCCCGAGAUGAAUCAAAAUGCAGAACGGGCUCUCCGGCGCCUACUUCCCUUCUGUCUGGGCGGCCAAGGAUUCCCA